AAUGAACACUAAUGGUAUGCUUUACACAUGCAAGUCGAACGGUAACAGGGAGCUUGCUCCGCUGACGAGUGGCGAACGGGUGAGUAAUGCAUCGGAACAUGCCCAGUCAUGGGGGAUAACUACGCGAAAGCGUAGCUAAUACCGCAUACGCCCUGAGGGGGAAAGUGGGGGAGUCUUAGGACCUCACGUGAUUGGAGUGGCCGAUGUCAGAUUAGCUAGUUGGUGAGGUAAAGGCUCACCAAGGCGACGAUCUGUAGCGGGUCUGAGAGGAUGAUCCGCCACACUGGGACUGAGACACGGCCCAGACUCCUACGGGAGGCAGCAGUGGGGAAUUUUGGACAAUGGGCGGCAAGCCUGAUCCAGCCAUGCCUCGUGAGUGAAGAAGGCCUCGUG
rnacentral:rRNA from 1 species